GAUGAACGCUGGCGGCGUGCCUAAUACAUGCAAGUCGAGCGAACGGACGAGAAGCUUGCUUCUCUGAUGUUAGCGGCGGACGGGUGAGUAACACGUGGAUAACCUACCUAUAAGACUGGGAUAACUUCGGGAAACCGGAGCUAAUACCGGAUAAUAUUUUGAACCGCAUGGUUCAAAAGUAAAAGACGGUCUUGCUGUCACUUAUAGAUGGAUCCGCGCUGCAUUAGCUAGUUGGUAAGGUAACGGCUUACCAAGGCAACGAUGCAUAGCCGACCUGAGAGGGUGAUCGGCCACACUGGAACUGAGACACGGUCCAGACUCCUACGGGAGGCAGCAGUAGGGAAUCUUCCGCAAUGGGCGAAAGCCUGACGGAGCAACGCCGCGUGAGUGAUGAAGGUCUUCGGAUCGUAAAACUCUGUUAUUAGGGAAGAACAUAUGUGUAAGUAACUGUGCACAUCUUGACGGUACCUAAUCAGAAAGCCACGGCUAACUACGUGCCAGCAGCCGCGGUAAUACGUAGGUGGCGAGCGUUAUCCGGAAUUAUUGGGCGUAAAGCGCGCGUAGGCGGUUUUUUAGUCUGAUGUGAAAGCCCACGGCUCAACCGUGGAGGGUCAUUGGAAACUGGAAAACUUGAGUGCAGAAGAGGAAAGUGGAAUUCCAUGUGUAGCGGUGAAAUGCGCAGAGAUAUGGAGGAACACCAGUGGCGAAGGCGACUUUCUGGUCUGUAACUGACGCUGAUGUGCGAAAGCGUGGGGAUCAAACAGGAUUAGAUACCCUGGUAGUCCACGCCGUAAACGAUGAGUGCUAAGUGUUAGGGGGUUUCCGCCCCUUAGUGCUGCAGCUAACGCAUUAAGCACUCCGCCUGGGGAGUACGACCGCAAGGUUGAAACUCAAAGGAAUUGACGGGGACCCGCACAAGCGGUGGAGCAUGUGGUUUAAUUCGAAGCAACGCGAAGAACCUUACCAAAUCUUGACAUCCUUUGACAACUCUAGAGAUAGAGCCUUCCUCUUCGGGGGACAAAGUGACAGGUGGUGCAUGGUUGUCGUCAGCUCGUGUCGUGGGAUGUUGGGUUAAGUCCCGCAACGAGCGCAACCCUUAAGCUUAGUUGCCAUCAUUAAGUUGGGCACUCUAAGUUGACUGCCGGUGACAAACCGGAGGAAGGUGGGGAUGACGUCAAAUCAUCAUGCCCCUUAUGAUUUGGGCUACACACGUGCUACAAUGGACAAUACAAAGGGCAGCGAAACCGCGAGGUCAAGCAAAUCCCAUAAAGUUGUUCUCAGUUCGGAUUGUAGUCUGCAACUCGACUACAUGAAGCUGGAAUCGCUAGUAAUCGUAGAUCAGCAUGCUACGGUGAAUACGUUCCCGGGUCU
rnacentral:rRNA from 1 species